CUCUCUCCCCGUGGGGAGGCGCGGAGUCCGCCAGCACCCGGGGCCCGGGCAGAUGGCGGGGGCUGCGGCAGCGGCUCGCCGGGUCCCUGGCCGCGCAGACGGGCUCCGCCUAAGGGCGAGUGGCCACGCAGGAGCGCCCCCUUCCCGGAGGGCGCGUUCUGCAGUCACCAAACGGCCCCCGAGACCCCCGCAGCCGGAAAGGCUGGCGCCGCGGGACUCCAGGCGCCCGGGAACCCACCGCCAGCCACUAGUCCUGUCCCACGGCGCGGGAACAAAGCCAGGCGGGUGCCCGGGAGCCGGCCCCGCAAGCCCGGGGACUGGACGCGACCGGGACAGGCAGAGACGCUCGCGCCGCCUCGACGGCCCCUCUCCAGGAAAACGACUCGCCCUGAAUUCUUUCUUGUGUGAAAUCCAAGAGCCCUCUCUUGGGGUUGGAUCGGGACCCUGUUCCUGUAACAAGUCCACAAUGCCAGAGAAUUAAAGAGAACCACAAAGUUUCUGCCAUUUCAGUUCCUGUUAUCGUGCUUUGAGGUGCACUGAACUGCAGCAAACCCAGGGGAUCCAAGGCUACGUUGAAAAGCCUUUGACCACAGUGCAGGGAGCAGAAGACAUUAAUGACGUGAUGUCGACACAGCCCGCACUCAGGAUCCUCCAGGAAAAGAACACAGAGAUAACCCCGGAUCGAUGGUACUUUUUGAAAAUGCUUUAUUGCAAAAGAGUGGCUAGGGUUUUACAAGGGCUAUGAAGAAACAUAUUAAGGUUAAUAAAGCUUUUUAUUGAGUGUUUA
rnacentral:lncRNA from 1 species